rnacentral:rRNA from 1 species
UACGGAGGACCCGAGCGUUAUCCGGAUUUAUUGGGUUUAAAGGGUGCGUAGGCGGAUUGGUAAGUUAGAGGUGAAAGCUCAGCGCUUAACGUUGAAACUGCCUCUGAUACUGUCGGUCUAGAGUAUAGUUGCGGAAGGCGGAAUGUGUGGUGUAGCGGUGAAAUGCUUAGAUAUCACACAGAACACCGAUUGCGAAGGCAGCUUUCCAAGCUAUCACUGACGCUGAGGCACGAAAGCGUGGGGAGCGAACAGG